GUCCCGUAACGAGCGCAACCUUGUCCUUAGUUACCAGCACGUUAUGGUGGGCACUCUAAGGAGACUGCCGGUGACAAACCGGAGGAAGGUGGGGAUGACGUCAAGUCAUCAUGGCCCUUACGGCCUGGGCUACACACGUGCUACAAUGGUCGGUACAAAGGGUUGCCAAGCCGCGAGGUGGAGCUAAUCCCAUAAAACCGAUCGUAGUCCGGAUCGCAGUCUGCAACUCGACUGCGUGAAGUCGGAAUCGCUAGUAAUCGUGAAUCAGAAUGUCACGGUGAAUACGUUCCCGGGCCUU
rnacentral:rRNA from 1 species